rnacentral:tRNA from 1 species
UGGGGAGUAGUUCAGCCGGCAGAACACCAGAUUUUGGAUCUGGGUGUCGCAGGUUCGAGUCCUGCCUCCCCAG